rnacentral:rRNA from 1 species
UGGGGAAUAUUGCACAAUGGGGGAAACCCUGAUGCAGCGACGCCGCGUGAAGGAAGAAGUAUCUCGGUAUGUAAACUUCUAUCAGCAGGGAAGAUAGUGACGGUACCCUGACUAAGAAGCCCCGGCUAACUACGUGCC